ensembl:lncRNA
UCUCUGCCCACCACUUCCUGGCCACCAUGAGGUGAACAGCUUCCUACACUACACAUGCCCUCAAUAAUGCACUGUGCUGUCAUAGGCCCAAAACAAUGUGAUAACUGCCCAUGGACUGAACCUCUGAAAACCAUGAGCCAAAAUGAACCUGUCCUCCUUUAAGCUGUCACAGCAAGGGAAAGCUAACACACUCUGCUUCCGUGCACAUGCGCAUGCAUGUGCACGCACGUGCACACACACACACACACACACACACACACACACAUACAUCUCUCUCAUUUUUACCUCCCCUACACUCUUAGCCCAUGCAGAGCCACAUGGGCACAUCUGUCAUGUACCUGGGCACGUUUGUCUUUCUGUUCUUAAUUGCCCCUUUUUAAAUCUAUACAAUAGUAGUUCUCAGCUGGGGACACUUUUAUCACAACACACACACACAGGGAACAUUUGGCAAUCUGGAGACAUUUAUUUGUCACAACUGGGUAAAGAGGGUUGCUAUUGGCAUCUAAGGACAGAAGCAGAGAUGUUGCUAAGUGUCCUACAAAGACAUAGGACAGCUCUCCUAUCCUCAAACUGUGGCAGGGAAGGAGGCCUAAAGGGGAGGAAGGAAAGAAUGAAGAAAACAGGAGGAGAGAGGGGAGGGGAGAGGAGAGAAAGGGAUUUACCAACCAUAAAACACCAGUAGUGUGGAGUAUGAGAAAGCCUGCCACAAAACCUUAACUGGUAUCUGAGGACUCUUGCUCUUUUUAAUAUGCUUUUAUCACAUGUAACUCAAUCUGCAGGUUCUUUUCCUACUUAGUAUCAUUUGCUCUCUGAGAAUCCAGGAAAUUUGAUUCGGUGACCAGUGACUGGAGAAGGGGAGCUGAUGUUGUAGAGCAGUGGUGGUGAACCUAUGGCGGGCGUUGAAAGCUCUAAAGGUUUGCCGUCACUGUUCCUGAGGCAACUUCUCCCUGCACAGGAUUAUGAGGGAGUGUGGCCUGCAAGCUGGCAUCAGAGCUUUUCACCGAGGAGGAGGAGAUUUCCUGUGACCAAGGGUCUCACUAUGUAGUUCAGGCUGGCCUUGAGCUAUGUAGCCCAGGCUGGCCUCAAACUCAUGGCAAUCCUCCUGCCUCAGGCUUCCAAGUGCUGCGACUACAGGUAUGUGCCACCACACCUGGCUAAACUGGAAUUUGUGAUCCUACUGCCUCAGCCUCCCAGCGUGCUGGGAUUACUGGAAGGAAAUUCUUCAAUCACAGGUAAUUUAAAUACUUCCUUUUUUUCUCGCUCAUUGCUCAACUAUUAAAUAGUAUUUAUUAAGCACACGCAGAACCUGAGGUCAGAAGGUUCUCAGGUCCUGAUAGAAUCCAUCAAUCAAGUGCCGGCCACUUGGGUCUGUGUAUGUUGGGCACAGCGUGGAGAAAGGAGAGGCCUUCAGGUAUGGCAGUGGGCACUCACAGCCCACUUACUGGCUUAACCAAACAAUGCUGGAACAUCAGACAUACUCCCACCCACAGCAAAACAGCAAGAGGGAAUGGGCCAAUCAAUUCUAAGAAGCCAUGCCCAGAAAACCUAAACUUCCCUUACCCUGAGUCCUAAACUCACCUAACACUGCCGCCUUUUUUUUUUCAACUAAAAGUUUUUCAUUUCCCGAAAGCGUAUGCAGGUGUUUAUUUUUCUUUCGCAGUGCUGGGGAUUGGACCCGGAGCCCAGCACAUGCUAGGUAAGUGUUGUACCACUGACACCACCCCG